ACGGAAGGCAGCAGUGGGGAAUAUUGGACAAUGGUCGGAAGACUGAUCUAGCCAUGCCGCGUGAAGGAAGAAUGUCCUAUGGAUUGUAAACUUCUUUUGUACGGGAGCAAUAAGGUGUAUGCAUACACCGAUGAGAGUACCGUACGAAUAAGCAUCGGCUAACUCCGUGCCAGCAGCCGCGGUAAUACGGAGGAUGCGAGCGUUAUCCGGAUUUAUUGGGUUUAAAGGGUGCGUAGGCGGAAUGCCAAGUCAGGGGUGAAACGCACGCGCUUAACGCGUGACCUGCCGUUGAAACUGGUAAUCUGGAAUACGGAUGCUGUGGGAGGAAUGUGUGGUGUAGCGGUGAAAUGCAUAGAUAUCACACAGAACACCGAUUGCGAAGGCAUCUCACAAAUCCGUCAUUGACGCUGAGGCACGAAAGUGUGGGGAUCAAACAGGAUUAGAUACCCUGGUA
rnacentral:rRNA from 1 species